AGGAUCAACGCUGGCGGCGUGCAUGAGACAUGCAAGUCGAACGGACGAUCGAAGCUUGCUUUGAUCGUUAGUGGCGGACGGCUGAGUAACGCGUGGGUGACCUGCCCCGAAGUGGGGAAUAACUGCCCGAAAGGGUGGCUAAUACCGCAUGUGGUGGUGCGUUCAAUCGCACCAGUAAAGCCGCAAGGCGCUUCGGGAGGGGCCUGCGUCCGAUUAGCUCGUUGGUGGGGUAACGGCUUACCAAGGCGACGAUCGGUAGGUGGUCUGAGAGGACGAUCACCCAGACUGGGACUGAGACACGGCCCAGACUCCUACGGGAGGCAGCAGUCGGGAAUUUUGCGCAAUGGACGAAAGUCUGACGCAGCAACGCCGCGUGGGGAUGAAGGCCUUCGGGUUGUAACCCUUUUCUCAGGGACGAUAAUGACGGUACCUGAGGAAUAAGCCACGGCUAACUACGUGCCGAGCAGCCGC
rnacentral:rRNA from 1 species